UCCCCUCUCCGGACCAUCACUUCUGAACGUUAAUCAAGGCUCUGAAACGCAGAUCUUACUGCAUUUGAGCUCAGAUUAUUAAAAAUAAAUUAGUCAGAAGACAGGAGAAACCUGGCCCAUCUCUCAUUUAUUAUCCAACAAGAGCAACCAUAAUUUCCUGCUUUUUAUCCUAUAGAAUGUGAGUCCAUGUAAGAGUUUUAAUAGUGAAUAGUGUUUUAACUGAUUUCAUGAUCACGAGUAUCGUCCAAGUUGAUUUCAUUAUCAUGAUUACUGUCCAAGUUUUCAUUUC
rnacentral:lncRNA from 1 species